rnacentral:lncRNA from 1 species
AGAGACCUGGUAUAUAUCCUCUGAGAGAACUAAUGAGGGAAUGAGAAGCAGGUGAGGAGAUGGGCUGUGGAAACCAGGUGAGGGGAAAAAGUUGAUUGCAGGCAGUGAGGAUGAACCAGGAUCUGAAAUGAUAAGAGAAUUACUGACAAGGUGAAACCAAAUAAAAACAAACUAAUAGUGGGUGGAACGCGUGACAUUUGGUUAAGAUUCACUGCGUGAAAAAUGUUAGGGAGAGGAGGGUGCUCCUGAAUAUGGCGUCAAUGUUAGGUCUGCUCCAUGCCCAGCGAUAGGGUGUGGAUUCAACCAGACACGACUUGACCACCACAUCCGUAUAAUGCAAUACGGAAAUGUCCCAUGAUGAGAGGGCUGAAGUAAUAAUGCAGGCAAAGCGGAUUGAAUCGAUGAGGCUCCUGUCCGAGCUGAGGGAGACCAACCCAACUCCACCUGUAGUAACAUUGCUCGAACUGCUGACAGAUGACCGAGAGGAUAUUUUGCUAGAACCCCCUUCUCCUCUCUGUGACUGUGGUGACCCCCAGUGUAUGGAGACAGAGAGGGGCUAUGUACGGGAGAUAUCCAGUCUUUGUCAGCAGAGGGAAGAUAUGGUUUCUCAAAUAGGAUCCCUCUGGCGGAAAUUGCAGAUCUUGAAGCGUAAAUGGAGCAUCCGUAUUUCAUCCCUCCAUGUGGAGGAAGAGGACAGGCCAAGCACGUCCAAGGAUGCACGGGAUAACAGCACCAGUGAGGAGGAAGAGGAGGCAGCCCUCUGGAGAAAAAUAAAAUGAGGAGGAGGAAGAGGAGAAGGAGGAGGAAGAGGAGAAGGAGGAGGAGGAGGAUAAGAAGGAGGAGAAAGAGGAAGUGGAUGUGGAGGAGGAGGAAGAAGAGACUGGUCCUAUUAGCAGUGUUGCCACUACAAUCAAAUCAAAGAAAUGCAGGGUGCUGAUAAGCCCUAUCAAAAAUCUGAAGAGACAAAGCAAAAGGGCCAAAAUCAGGUUGAGAAUGAGAAGAUAAAGCUGUUCAUUGGUGGUAGUGUUAAAUUGUUCCAUAUAGUCUUUUAAAUAUUUAAUAAUAUUGAUUGUUUGUUCUUAUUAUGACUGUUCUUAUUGUUCUUAUUAUGACUAUAUUAUGUUAUUAGAAUUAUUGUGUUUGCCUUUUAAAAUAAAUGUUUGAA